AAACUAAAGUUUGAGAACUCGCCUUUAGGCGGGUUCAAAACAACGGUAUACAAGCUUAUUAAAGUAAGUAGUGUUUUCUUGGUGGUUGUCAAUUAUAUGGUAAGUUCCCCUAAAGUAUUUUCUCAGCCGCCAUAAUAUUUAAGUUUGUGCCUAAUAAAUAGCAUUACUUCUUGUUAUGAAUACUAUAAUCUCCAUAUAGCUGGGUAUCUAAUCCAGGUUUAGUUGCUGGAGUUUGGAUUAUUAUAAAGCAAAAUAAAUUUGGAUCAUUAUUAGCAUUUCACUGUAUAAUAAUUCUUUAAUGCUUGGCUGAAGUAAAACGAAAUUAUACAUAACAAUUACUAUAAAUUUGUUUAUUAGGUUUGACCGCGGUUGCUGGCACCUAAUAAACCUAAACUAUAUAGUUAUCUAAAUCUAAUUUGCAUUAAUUUUUAAAUUUUUAACUGGAUUAUUUUAUUUGUACUCCAUAUUAAAUUAGACUAUACAUCUAUAGUCUCAUUAUAUUAAAGUGAUUUGGUCUAUGGAGGAAUAUACCAUUUUAGA
rnacentral:rRNA from 1 species